GCUGACACAUCCCGGCCAAUCUCCAGCAGACCCUCCCUCCCAGACCCUCCCACCUCCUGGACAGCAUACAUGUUGAACAUGUAUGCUGUCCAGGAGGUGGGAGGGUCUGGGAGGGAGGGUCUGCUGGAGAUUGGCCGGGAUGUGUCAG